GGUGCUUACCUUUGGUACCAGCAACAAUGUGCCCAGCAACCCUGAAGAGACUGUAGAGCCACCGUGAGACAUGAGUCUUAGCAGAAAGAACCUUUGUAAGAAAGUCUUUCGAGGGGAGACCUUCUGGCUCUCUCCAACUCCCUGAAAGGAGGGUGUAGCCAGGGGAGGUCGGCCUCUUCUCCCAAGUCCCAGGUGAUGGGACAAGAGGAAAUGACCUCAAGUUGCACCAAGAGAGGUUCAGGUUGGAUAUUAGGAAAAAUGUUUCCAGGGAAAGGGUUCUUAAGCCUUGGAAUGGGCUGCCCAGGGAAGGGGUUGAGGCCCCAUCCCUGGAGGGAUUUAAAAGCCGGGUUGCCAUAGUGCUUAGAGACAUGGUUUAGUGAAGGGUUUUUAUUAGAGUUAGGUUGAUGGUUGGACUGGAUGAUCUCAAAGGUCCCUUCCAACCUAGACAAUUCUAUCAUUCUAGGAAAUGGAAAUUAGCAGUUCAACGAUAUUAUUGUGGUGAAGUGACUAAAUCUGUGGAUGGAUGGAAAUGAGGUCCUCUGUAAGGGCCGAAGUCUGCCAAUACAAAAACAUAAAGCCUUCUAACAGCUUGCGUGGGAGGCACAGUCUUCACAAAACAAGCAAAGCAAGCAGUUUCCUGAAAAAAAGGAAGGAAGGAGACGUGGGUCAGAGACCCCAUUCCACAGUGGGGCAUCGACAGAAGACAGCACGGCCUGAUUCCACUCUUUGGGAACACGUAAGAAUUAGACAGCAACUGUGGGAUUGGAGACUUCUUGUCUUGCCAUCCCUCACCCUGUUCCUGUGCCAGGUAAGAAUUUGACCACUGGGAAUAUACUCGUGAGUUUCCAGGCCCACAGCGUAGAAGGGAAUGGGAAUACGUGACUUGUGGAAAAAGGUCUGAAGGCAGAUUUUAAAAUGGGGGUGUCCAGAGCAAUAGGAAAGCUCUGACAACUCAGAGUCAACUUGGAAUUUGCCACCCGUAAAUUCUUACCUCUUUUUUUUUUCUGAAGACUGUUACUGCCUCUGCCUUUUAGUUUUUUAGAUAUUUAACUUAAAAUCACGAUAAAGUAGAUGUUUUCUGACUAUGUUAGUCCCUGUGGGCAGAUGACCCACGGCAAGAAUCAGAACUUCCAGUUCUGGAAGCUUCUGUUGGAGGGUUCAAGGCCAGGCUGGAUGGGGCUUGGAGCAACCUGGUCUGGUGGGAGGUGUCCCUGCCCAGGGCAGGGGGUUGGAACUCGAUGAUCUUUAAGGUCCCUUCCAACUCCAACCAUUCUAUCACUUUAUGAAUAAUCUAUCAACUCCAAGCAGAGCCACCACCUAACAAAGGGCAACAUAGAAUCACCCUGGCCUUGGACACCUCCAGAGGUGUCCUCAUAGAAGAGGUGGGGAGGAUGAGAGGACAACAGGCUCAAUACUUGCAGCAGCCACCCUAGAACUAGCACAUGAACUAACUCUGACCCUCCUACAUCUCCUUUUGUCUGAGAAAGACAAGUCUCAUGACUUUCUAGUCAUCACAGUGACUACUUUGCCCUUGUGGCCUACCACAAACUCUCAGGAUGCUGGAUGAACUCAGGCUGGUGGCAACGCUCUGAUCUGUCAGAUGUGGGAGAACUGGCAACAGCCACAAAAAUUUUUGGAUGUGGACAGGCACGAUCAAAGUCCUCUGCUGUGUCUUCACCAUGUUCCUCAUGAGACUGAGCGCCCAUACUCCCGCCAGUAGGUGGCCAAAUAAAGUUUUGGUGGACAACA
rnacentral:lncRNA from 1 species